UGCCUAACACAUGCAAGUCGAGCGAUUCUCUUCGGAGAAGAGCGGCGGACGGGUGAGUAACGCGUGGGUAACCUGCCCUGUACACACGGAUAACAUACCGAAAGGUAUGCUAAUACGAGAUAAUAUACUUUUAUCGCAUGGUAGAAGUAUCAAAGCUUUUGCGGUACAGGAUGGACCCGCGUCUGAUUAGCUAGUUGGUAAGGUAACGGCUUACCAAGGCGACGAUCAGUAGCCGACCUGAGAGGGUGAUCGGCCACAUUGGAACUGAGACACGGUCCAAACUCCUACGGGAGGCAGCAGUGGGGAAUAUUGCACAAUGGGCGAAAGCCUGAUGCAGCAACGCCGCGUGAGCGAUGAAGGCCUUCGGGUCGUAAAGCUCUGUCCUCAAGGAAGAUAAUGACGGUACUUGAGGAGGAAGCCCCGGCUAACUACGUGCCAGCAGCCGCGGUAAUACGUAGGGGGCUAGCGUUAUCCGGAAUUACUGGGCGUAAAGGGUGCGUAGGUGGUUUCUUAAGUCAGAGGUGAAAGGCUACGGCUCAACCGUAGUAAGCCUUUGAAACUGGGAAACUUGAGUGCAGGAGAGGAGAGUGGAAUUCCUAGUGUAGCGGUGAAAUGCGUAGAUAUUAGGAGGAACACCAGUUGCGAAGGCGGCUCUCUGGACUGUAACUGACACUGAGGCACGAAAGCGUGGGGAGCAAACAGGAUUAGAUACCCUGGUAGUCCACGCCGUAAACGAUGAGUACUAGCUGUCGGAGGUUACCCCCUUCGGUGGCGCAGCUAACGCAUUAAGUACUCCGCCUGGGAAGUACGCUCGCAAGAGUGAAACUCAAAGGAAUUGACGG
rnacentral:rRNA from 1 species